rnacentral:rRNA from 1 species
AGCGGCGGAUGGGUGAGUAACACGUGGGGAACCUGCCCCUAAGUCUGGGAUACCAUUUGGAAACAGGUGCUAAUACCGGAUAAUAAAGCAGAUCGCAUGAUCAGCUUUUGAAAGGCGGCGUAAGCUGUCGCUAAGGGAUGGCCCCGCGGUGCAUUAGCUAGUUGGUAAGGUAACGGCUUACCAAGGCGACGAUGCAUAGCCGAGUUGAGAGACUGAUCGGCCACAUUGGGACUGAGACACGGCCCAAACUCCUAUGGGAGGCAGCAGUAGGGAAUCUUCCACAAUGGACGCAAGUCUGAUGGAGCAACGCCGCGUGAGUGAAGAAGGUUUUCGGAUCGUAAAGCUCUGUUGUUGGUGAAGAAGGAUAGAGGUAGUAACUGGCCUUUAUUUGACGGUAAUCAACCAGAAAGUCACGGCUAACUACGUGCCAGCAGCCGCGGUAAUACGUAGGUGGCAAGCGUUGUCCGGAUUUAUUGGGCGUAAAGCGAGCGCAGGCGGAAAAAUAAGUCUAAUGUGAAAGCCCUCGGCUUAACCGAGGAACUGCAUCGGAAACUGUUUUUCUUGAGUGCAGAAGAGGAGAGUGGAACUCCAUGUGCAGCGGUGGAAUGCGUAGAUAUAUGGAAGAACACCAGUGGCGAAGGCGGCUCUCUGGUCUGCAACUGACGCUGAGGCUCGAAAGCAUGGGUAGCGAACAGGAUUAGAUACCCUGGUAGUCCAUGCCGUAAACGAUGAGUGCUAAGUGU